GCGCAGACGAUGCGACACACCUUGAGACCCGACCGCGCUGCGGCGCAUGUCCCUGGGGGUUCCAAACCUAAUACCAAAAACUUUGAUACUGAUGCGC
rnacentral:snoRNA from 1 species